UGCUGCAACUCAUGACCUAAUGGAGGGAUAAUAAUUCGAGAACAGGAAACAAGUUGUCUUCUUAGGGAAACGACUUCACAAUGAGUUACGAAGCCUAUGUGAUAAGUUUGACACUCACCUAUAUUCUAUCUGCUAAUGCCGAUUAUGCAGUAAAACUACCCAAGUGAAUGGCAUUCAUGCUGAGGGAGAACUAGGUUCAUCACAGUACAGGAAAAAAUAACUUGCAUUCGUAUAGUGCUCCUCCUACAUAGGGAAACAUAUUGAAGGUGGAUACAAAUUUGUUUUUACACAAUGGACUAAUUUAUAAUCGGAUAAAUUCUGGGUUUUUGAAAAAAACUGAAGCCCUGUAACAGACAAUGGGGUUGCCCAGGCAGCUAAAAUACACAGCUUGCAUUCCACCAAGUGGGAUGGGAUAAAAGGCAGUCAACCCCCCUGGGCAGCUUGAAAGACCUCAUCUCCUGUUGGCUUUACGCUAUCCUGAAACUUUGCAAAUGUUUUUGAGAUGAGACAUCAAAAUGCAAUUGCUUAUUCUAAAACAAUGUCUGCAGCAUGGACUAAUGGAAUUUGCCGUCAGGAAAUAUUCUUCAGCCAUCAAGGUACUUUAAGGGACUGUGUUACCAAACAGGAGAGAGCUCCAGAAUGUUGUACUGAAACAGGUGGCUGAAGUUGUUUGUCCCCUCUGCUGCUCUCUCUCUGACGUAUUAUGCCCGGAUUUGCAAAGUAACCACACUGAAAAGAGAAAUCUACUUCAAACCGAGAUCUUUUGGGAGCAAAAUGUGGAAAUGUGCUCCAUAAAACUACCCUUAGGAAGACAACUGAACAAAUGGCCACUCUGUGGAAUCAUCACAUUGAGAACAGCCAAAGAACAGCUAACCGUAUACUCCUUUGUUUUAUCUUCGUCACGAACUGUAAAAACUCCCUAAGCCUAUCCUGUUAUUCUGCCAUCUGUACUAGUGUGUGUAUGGGCCCAGGGAAUGUGUGUUGUGUAUGAAUCGUGGUUGGGAUUUAUGUAGCUGUGUUUUGAUUUGGGAAAUAGUUUCAAUAAACUUAUCUUAUUCUUUGUUUAAA